UUUUCACCUACAUCUUCCCCUAAAAAUAAAAACUUUUCUUUAGGGGAUUAUUGCCAGUGUAACAUGGGUGUUAGAAGCAAGCUAAUCCUUUCAGUUAGAAUGCUUAUUUUUCACAGAGGGCAUGUUAGGAAGAAUGUUUAAAAUAAUGUUCUUUAUUUAUGCAUCCCCUUGCUUCUCCAAGCCACUAAAAGCCUUUCGGAAGCCAGAUUACAAGUCCCCACGCGUUUUCUCUUAAAAAUAAUAUGCCUCCAGCCUAUGUUCUUGUUAGUUUACUCUCUCACUUGGAUCCAGAGUGAAAGCUCUACCCUCUGAUCACCCUGGCUAGCAACCUGCAUCAGGGCUGCACAUCUCCAGCUCCAGGUGCUUCCCCCUACUCCCCUUUGCCAGCCACAGGGCGAAGGGAUAAUCUCAGCUCAUAAGGAUGGCUGCACUGAGGUGUAUUGACCUCCAAAGCAAUAAAACAAAAGUAUGUUUUGCAGCAUGUGCAGACUGCUAACAUCAUUCAUUAGAAUUCUUCUCAGCUGUGUUAGUCCAGAGUUUUAGCUACUAAUUCAGGUUAACAGCUCUCCAGCUUUUGAGAGAGGCAGUAAACAAGAAGAUGGAAUUCAGCAGGCAUUUGAGAGGAAUCAUUGGAAGAAGGAAGGAACCUGCUCAUUUCCCCCUCAGAGAGAACACAAGAAGACUAAGCUUCAAAAUCAGAAGAUUAAAGUCAAGCGGUGAAAAAUACCCCUUCAAAAUCAGCUACAUAAGCUUGCCAGCUAAUCCAGCAAGAACAGUCACCAAUGAAGGGAGGCCUGCAGUACCCAGUACAGCUUUACCCUCCCUGAACAGCAGAGCCCGAUGACAACCCCCAGAACUAUGACCCAAAGGAGACCCAGGCCCGCAGGCGGGGAGGCAGGGAGCCAGGUGGGGCUGCUCAAUCUGUUGAGGCAAUGAGUGGUCACAGCAUGCCUCAGGUGUGUGCAGCAGGUGGGGAGUGUGGGGAGAGCUCUAAAAGCUGGAUUCAUAGGAAGUCUUUUAUUUUCUUCUAGGGAAGUUUCAGAAGGUAUUGGGGAGUUUUUUGUUGUUGCUGGUCUUUUUUUGUGUGUUACUGUAGAGAGCUAGAGAGUUCUUCUAUUCACUUUUUUAAUUUAAUGCAGCUUGUAUGUUUUUGUAUCAUUAUUAUGGGUUGAAGUAUUCAAAGUUUGGCUUUUGAAUUCUUAGUACUCAAAGUCUUACGCUCAAAGCACUUUUAUUUUCCUUGUUCUGGCUUUAUCUGAUGCUUCAUGAGAACUGAACGUCUACAUAGGACACCUCCAAUUCUCAAUAUUUAACUGUGUACAUGUAUAUAGUAGUAAACAAAUGUCAGAAGACAACAUGUUUUAUAAUUCUGUCAAUAGAGAUAAACACUUCUAGAGUCAAACAUAAACUUUACUAGAAAUGAGGACUGCUUCAAGCAGAGUGCUGUUGUGUCAUCUAUAUCACUUAAACUGCUUGUGUAUUCUGUGCUAAGCAGAAGUGUACAAAGCAGCAAGAUUAUUGAUAGUCCAAUUAAUUUAUAUGCAUGCAUAUACAUGUACUGAUGCAUGUGUAUAAUAUGUGAAGUGUCAUUUUAUGAAGUUACUUUAUUAAACAGCAGAUAGUGAAUUUGAAGGAAUUGUGAUAUGUGCAAGGGUUGGGAGGGGAAAAAAGCAACACACACUUGCAGUCUUAAGUUCAGGCUUUUAAAUCUACAAUCAAGUAUCAAAAUAAAAGCUACCUUUUUUUUCCCA
rnacentral:lncRNA from 1 species